UACGGGGGGGGCAAGCGUUGUUCGGAAUUACUGGGCGUAAAGGGCUCGUAGGUGGCCAACUAAGUCAGACGUGAAAUCCCUCGGCUUAACCGGGGAACUGCGUCUGAUACUGGAUGGCUUGAGUUUGAGAGAGGGACGCGGAAUUCCAGGUGUAGCGGUGAAAUGCGCAGAUAUCGGGAGGAACACCAGUAGCGAAGGCGGCACUCUGGGCCGGUACUGACGCUGAGGAGCGAAAGCGUGGGGAGCAAACAGG
rnacentral:rRNA from 1 species